GAAAUGCUGGAGUCCUUCAUCCGAAUGGUAAAUGGCACUUGUGACAAAAAUCAAAGUAACUAAAAAAGAAUCUGGUUGAAACCUCAGUAACAGUUGGCCUGUCUACUGCCUCACACUAACAAGCCUGUACAAGAAACAUGGUGCCAGCAUCUGCUUCUGGUGAGGACUGCAGGAAGCUUCCAAUCAUGGUCCAAAAAAUGCGGAGCCUGCGUGUCACGUGAUAAGAGAUGGAGCGUGAGAAAGAGGCAGGAGGAGAAAGUGACCCCCACCUUUACAAGUGUCUGUAAUUCUCACUAGCAGUAUAUUAGAGGGCAAAAGAUUUGAACAGACACAUCAGAAAAGAAGACAUACAAAUGGCCGCUAAGCACUUGAAAGGAUUCUGAACACCAUUAGUCAUCAGUGAAAUGCAAAUUAAAGCCAUAAUGAAUGGCGCUAUACAUUUUCAGAAUGGCAAGGAUUGAAGACCGAAAAAAAUCAAGCGUUGAGGAGAGUGACAAAUGGGGAGACAGCCGUGGUGCAUGAUCGCCGAAUAAAUACCAUGUGAGGAUACAGCAAGAAGGUGGCCAUCUACAAGCCAAGGAGACAGGCCUCAGAAGAAACCAACCCUUCUUACACCCUGGACUCAGACUUCUAAUCUCCAGAACUGUAAGAAAAUAAAUUUCUGUUGCUU
rnacentral:lncRNA from 1 species